rnacentral:rRNA from 1 species
UACGGAGGGUGCAAGCGUUAAUCGGAAUUACUGGGCGUAAAGCGUGCGCAGGCGGUUUGUUAAGUCCGUUGUGAAAGCCCCGAGCUCAACUUGGGAAUUGCAGUGGAUACUGGCAGGCUGGAGUACGGUAGAGGAAGGUGGAAUUCCCGGUGUAGCAGUGAAAUGCGUAGAGAUGCGGAGGAACACCGAUGGCGAAGGCAGCCCCCUGGGCCAACACUGACGCUCAGGCACGAAAGCGUGGGGAGCAAACAGG